UACGUAGGGGGCUAGCGUUAUCCGGAAUUACUGGGCGUAAAGGGUGCGUAGGUGGUUUCUUAAGUCAGAGGUGAAAGGCUACGGCUCAACCGUAGUAAGCCUUUGAAACUGGGAAACUUGAGUGCAGGAGAGGAGAGUGGAAUUCCUAGUGUAGCGGUGAAAUGCGUAGAUAUUAGGAGGAACACCAGUUGCGAAGGCGGCUCUCUGGACUGUGACUGACACUGAGGCACGAAAGCGUGGGGAGCAAACAGG
rnacentral:rRNA from 1 species